rnacentral:rRNA from 1 species
CCUACGGGUGGCAGCAGUGAGGAAUAUUGGUCAAUGGGCGAGAGCCUGAACCAGCCAAGUCGCGUGAGGGAGUACUGUCCUAUGGGUUGUAAACCACUUUCGUCGGGGAGCAAAAGCCGGAUGUGUGCGGCUGGGAGAGCACCCGAAGAAAAAGCAUCGGCCAAGUUCGUGCGAGCAGCGGCGGGAAUACGGGGGAUGCGAGCGUUGUCCGGAUUUAUUGGGUGUAAAGGGGGCGGAGGCGGAUUUGUAAGUGAGCGGUCAAAACGUGCGGCUCAACCCCAUCCAGCCGUUAAAACUGGAGAUCUUGAGUGUACGAGAGGUAUGCGGAAUGCGUGGUGUAGCGGUGAAAUGCGUAGAUAUCACGCGGAACCCCAGUUGCGAAGGCGGCCUGCCGGUGUACAACUGACGCUGAGGCUCGAAAGCGUGGGUAUCGAACAGGAUUAGAUACCCUUGUAGUC